AUGCAAAUGAAUAUCGAAUCUCACAUCCAUGUCCAGAGUAUGGUAUUCAAUAUUCGAAAACAUUGGGUCAUAAGUUUUGAAAGGGUUUUGUCAAAAUAUUUGUCAAAACCUAGGUUUUACAUAAACACAAAUGAAAUCAACAAAAUCAAAUCAUCAAUCGGUUCACAUACAAUAAAAUCAGAAUAA